UGAAUGUCCAAGAAGCAAGCAACACCCAAAUUUCAAACCAUGAUUCUGGUUUAUGUAUGUCCAAUGAUACUCCCCAAACAGGGUUUUGUGAUUCUUUAAGAAAGAAUCUACUUAUAUAGGAUUAUCUUCUACAUUCUAGUAACCAAAAUAGAGAGGAUCAUCUGGUAAAGAUGAUUUACACCCUCUUCAAUAUCUGAAUGUAGUUUCCAGAAUACAUAGGAAAAGAAGCAAUCUGCAAUUCUUGUCAUAUCAGAAAGACAGAUUUUUCAUUUUUUUUUUACCGCAUUAGUUCCCUUAUGAACACAACCAAAUAAAAUAACUGUUGUAUGAAAUAAAAUAAACAAGAAGAAGAAGAAAACAAAAAAAGAAGAGAAGAUGGUAAGAACAUCA
rnacentral:misc_RNA from 1 species